GUCCAUGCCGUAAACGAUGAAUACUAGGUAUUGGGCCCGUCAACGGUCCAGUGCCGCAGCUAACGCGUUAAGUAUUCCGCCUGGGGAGUACGGUCGCAAGACUGAAACUCAAAGGAAUUGACGGGGGCCCCGCACAAGCGGUGGAGCAUGUGGUUUAAUUCGACGCAACGCGCAGAACCUUACCAAGGCUUGACAUGGGACAGACUGUACGAGAGAUCGUACUUCUCUAGCAAUAGAGCUGUCCACACAGGUGCUGCAUGGCUGUCGU
rnacentral:rRNA from 1 species